CAAAAUUAAAUAACAAAGCCGUAGACAGCAGGUGCCGUUGGCUUAAUAUCCUGCCGAGGUUUGAUCCAAAUUGCUUGAAGUUCCAUCCUUCUUUGGUGUGGUAGUUCUGGCAUCAGGAGAAGGGUGGUUUCAAAUCUACCUUUCAACUAAAACCCCGGCUUUUGCAGCUGGGGUUUAUUAAUUUCUAG
rfam:Mastigocladus laminosus TT774 scaffold_5, whole genome shotgun sequence.